GCAUCCAAACCCAAAGAGGCAAAGAAGUAACGGCCCCAGCGGUCCAGCACCCUGUGCUCCCCUUUCCCACCACCACUUCCCCUUCCUCCGCGGGCACAGCAGCCAUGGCCGCCUCCAGCGACCUCCUCGACGUCGACCCGCCCGAGCUCCAGUUCCCCUUCGAGCUCGACAAGCAGAUCUCCUGCCCCCUCAAGAUGAUCAAUAAGACCGACAGAACCGUCGCCUUCAAGGUUAAGACGACGAGCCCCAAGAAGUACUGCGUGCGCCCCAACAAUGGCGUCGUGCGGCCGCGGUCCACCUGCGAAGUUGUAGUGACGAUGCAAGCCCAGAUUGUUGCACCACCAGACUUGCAGUGCAAGGACAAAUUCUUGGUGCAAAGCGUGGUCGUCGCCGAUCGCUUAUCGGCCAAGGACAUCACCGCUCAAAUGUUCACGAAACAAGGGGGUAACGCUGUUAGGGAGGUGAGGAUGAGGGUCACUUAUGUGAUGCCAACCGAAUCGUCGUUAGAGAUUGCGGAGGAAAGCGAUGGGCGCCAGCGUAUCUUGGUGCCUAUGCAGCGAAUUGUGGAUCAUGGGAGGAGCGCUUCGGGGCUGUCGAGUGGCUCGGUAUCCUUGAGAUCAGCUGAGCUGGGGACAGAGGUGGGAUCACCUACUGGACCAGUUGUAAGGACUGAAGAAUUACUGAAGGCUGCAGGACAUGCUGCUGAAACAAGAACAUAUGCAGGGCCUGAUGCACAGUCCCUUGAGGUGUGUUCUUUUGCCUUCCAAAGCAGUUUGGCAGUUCUUGUGUUCCCUAGUAGUUGUUCUGUAUGCUAUACUAACAGCCUGGUCACAUGGCAAGUAAAAUACUGAAGAUACUUAUUUGAAACAUUUUGAUCCUUGCCAAUUCUACCCUGCUCUAUAGCUUGUUAAUCGUUAGGAACAAUUGUGUAAUAAUAUGUUUCCUCUACUAAGAAUAAGGCAUAUGAUCGGUUUUUAGUUGCUUCAUAUAGGAAUUAUAUGAUUAAGUGUAUUUAUGAUUUUUUUUAACUGUGCACACAUGGGUAUUGUUGUCCAUCCAUUUAAUUUGCUUUAGAUCUUAUUGUCUUGGCCAUCCUUCUAGUUCACCAUAGACAUCAUACAGCUGGCAUUGGUUGCAUGAACAUCUUAUAUUUAACUUGUUUUUAGUGUGAACUAGUGAUUGUCCCAGCCUUCCUGGUAUCAUGUUGUUCAAUGAGAAGCUGUCGGCUUUAAUUACAAAAUUAACCAAGGAAAAGGAUUCUGCCCUUGAGCAAA